rnacentral:lncRNA from 1 species
CUUGACUCUGAUUCGCCAUCACCUGCAAUGCAACAUAACAAGCUAGCUUUUCACACUGUAAUGUGAAGUAUGAACCUAGUCUUUAUAAUGAGAUAUAACCCUCCCUUUUGUGAUCAAAACUUAGUUACAAAUCAUAGAUAGCUAUGGCUUAUGCUUUGCAAAACUAUGCUCUUAAUAUUUUUCUUUUGGCCUUGGCCUUAAUCCCAUUUGAGGGAGCCUGUGGCUCCCAUCAUCACCAAUUGCAGCACCUCAAAUCCCUUCACUUCUCUCUGUUUCAACAUGAAACCAUAAACAGAACAGGAUAUGUCAUAGUGAAUGGAGUGCAAGGAGGGCCAGGAAUCACUGAAACCACAACCCCUUUUGGCACUCUAUUUGUCUUUCAGGACCCUUUGACUGUCACAGCCAACAGAUCCUCCAAACUUGUUGGAAUUGCUGAGGGAACUUCCAUCACCUCAAGCCUUGAUGGGCUUCGCAGCAUUUCGAUUGCGAAGCUAACUCUGCGCCUGAAAAAUCACAGGGGUUCUGUUUCCAUUGUUGGAGGUACACAUAAUGUUAAGCCUUCAGAUCAUCCAAUAGUGGGAGGUACAGAAGAUUUCUUGUUUGUGCAAGGCUAUGUUACCUCUUCUCCUGUUGAUCUAAAGGGUGUUACCGUUACCUACAAGAUUGAAUUUCAUCUAUACUGGCCUCCUUAUGCAACUCAUGCCUCUUAAUUAGGAACUUGAUUUGUUCUUAUUUUAGUUGAAGGCUCAUGUUUUACAAAGCUGUAUCAGAGCAGUUUUUGAAAUGAAAAACGUCAUGGUUUAUGUUUGGAAACUUAGUUUUUACAUUUGUAUUUUACAACUACUCCUACACUCAUCCAAUUAUGGUACACUAUAGUGAAUAUUGUAAUAAAUAUAAAGGAUUUUCAACAGUGACGGAUCCAGGAUUUCUUAGUUGUGGGGCCAAAACACACGCACGUACAUAUAAAUAAAAUAUAAAAGAUUUAGUGUGGGCAAAUAAUACAAAUAACAUAUAUUUUUUACUGUACAAACAAGCAAGAUACAUAGUAUUUAAAAAACAUUUAACCACAAGGGGUGACACAAGUGGUGACUGUCUAUUUUUUUAAGAGAUUUCACCUAGGCUUCUGACCCGGGUUUGAAAGAGGAGAAAAAAAUUAUGUGAUCCUUUGCAAGAUUGUGAAUGGAACUUGAAAGCAGCAGAGUAUUAGGUUCAAGCUGAGAGCAUGAGCAAACUAAACUUUCGCAGGUUCAAAUCUUUUAAUUUGUUUUCAGAUAGUAUUCACAAGCAAAAUAUAAAAAUCCCAGCAUAGAAGAUCAUAUACAAUAGAACGUAUAACCCUUGACAAUACGUUGAGGCAGUGAACAACUGUUUACAUUAUUUUACUUAUCGACUAUCCUAGGUUUAAUGAGGUAAUUUCAUAUGGUUCAACAAAACUUGCAUAAGCUUUGAAAUGAAAAGAUUGAUUUUCUUAAUGGAUGGAUGGGAUAACCAAACAAGAUAGCAAAUUAUAUACUAGGGUGUUUCUCAAAAAAUAGUCCUCAGUUCCUAACACGUGAACAAGGAAAGAUGGCACCUAAUCCUUACAGGCAGAAAGAGGCUAUCAAGAAAGUCUGAACAGUUUGUGAGCUGCUUAUUAUAUCAAGGAAAGUCUAAGCAGCCUUUUAUUUCCUUGAAAAAAGAAAAACUUAGGACAUUAGGUCAGGUGGUGGGGAUCAUUUUAUUUCAAAGACAUGUAUGUGCCGCAAUGAGUUUAUAAUGAACCUAAAUUUAUCAACAAAAGUCAAGAAUCCUAAUUGACAACAAGUUAUCAUAGUCAUUAAGAAAUUCCGUAAACUUGAAUAGCAGCGCAUUUAGUUUCCCACAUAUACAGUAACCUUGAUUUCUGAAAUAGUAUGAAUCAAUGAAUUUGGUAAAACGAAUACAAUAUAAACCUUGAAUGCUUCCAUCUUAAACAAGGCACAAAAAAAAAUUCAAAUAUACAAGAGGUGCAAGAAACACCGAUGAAGCAGCAAAAGCAGAACAUGAUUGUAGUUAUAUGAAUAUAUUUCUGAGAGCUGCAGUGUUUACAAAUUAGUAAAGAAAGAAUAAAUAUAUUAAGCAGCCAGAGGAAGCGUUAGGUGAAGAUAUAAUUCUUUGAAGUGAUUUCGGUGUAGUAGUAGAACUAAAGCCUCUUCCCGUGACUCCUGUUGCAAUACUUCAAAGAAAAACUUUAAUUGUUCAAAAUUGAUUUAUAUGGAAGUUAAACCCGGGGAUUGUGUAGGCGAGGUCUAUUGCAGAAAACCCGGCCGUUGGCCCGCACAAAUGCUGCUAUACCAACACUAAUGCUUGCCCACAUUAGCGAAAAGAACAAGUGCCGAAAAUCAUAUCGAACUGUAGGAAAAAUGAACAGUCAGGCUUAAAGAUAACCGAUUUUACACCAUAUGUGAUAAGUAGUUGAUUAAUCUAUACGUGGUUGGCCUUAACCCCAAGCUAGCAAAAUCUAUAUUAGACGGUUAAACAAGACAAAUAGAGACAAAACUUCACUAUGUAACAACUUGAUAAUAAUGUAAUCAGUACAGGAAUAUCUAAUUUACUCUGCUUGUAUUCCUGCAACGAGGGAAGGACAAAAAUUCUCAUAAUCUUUGAAAGUCACGUUUUGCUUAAAUAUCUAGAAAUCGGGCAUUUUACGAUGCUUCAAAUUCUUUCCUUGACAACCUAAUUAUUUUAUUAUGAAAACUAAAGAUCCAUAUUAGAAGUGGCUUUCCUCCUUAUAUAUAUUUUUUGAACGUCUUUCCUUUUCUUAUAUAAAAGAGCCUAAAAUUGCAUACAUGAAUUUGGGUCAGUACUGAAAUGACCCAUAUAUACAUAACCACCUAAAAAUGAGGCGGGGUCGCAUAAUCCUAUAAACCAUGAAAGUCACUAAUAUAGCGUAAUAAACAUAUAAUUCACACAUAUAGAGAAUUAAUAUACGUAAAUGAUGUCAGACCGUCCACGCAUGAAGAGGCUACCCAUCAUACAAAGAAGUCAUGACUAAAGACUCGUUUGAGUUAGGUGACUCAUCAUUGGGUGUGUAAUUGUGUCCACCACCGUAGAUAAGUUUACCGAUAUUUUUUAUGAACUUUUUUAUGUAAGUUACUAUUGUGGCGGCCUUGAAUUACAAACUAAAGGAACGCAACUUUGACUUAUUCUUAUCGUGUUCCCUUUACCUUAUCACUCAUUUACUAGUGCCACCUGCUCCACCAUUUUGAAAGGCAUUUUAUUUUAACUUGGAAAGAAGCAUCUCACCUAAAAUCACUUAAUAAAAGUAUAAAAAAAAAAGUGAACUGAAAAAUGAAAAAUCAAAUUUUUGCACGCAAUUCAAAAUGCAGUAAAGUAAUUUUGGCCCUUUCUACACUGCAACAAGGUCUUCAAGGAUUCACACAAAUUUUCCAACAUCUUAUAAUGACUAGACUAGUGAAUUUAGAAUUCCUUGACUCUGAUUCGCCAUCACCUGCAAUGCAACAUAACAAGCUAGCUUUUCACACUGUAAUGUGAAGUAUGAACCUAGUCUUUAUAAUGAGAUAUAACCCUCCCUUUUGUGAUCAAAACUUAGUUACAAAUCAUAGAUAGCUAUGGCUUAUGCUUUGCAAAACUAUGCUCUUAAUAUUUUUCUUUUGGCCUUGGCCUUAAUCCCAUUUGAGGGAGCCUGUGGCUCCCAUCAUCACCAAUUGCAGCACCUCAAAUCCCUUCACUUCUCUCUGUUUCAACAUGAAACCAUAAACAGAACAGGAUAUGUCAUAGUGAAUGGAGUGCAAGGAGGGCCAGGAAUCACUGAAACCACAACCCCUUUUGGCACUCUAUUUGUCUUUCAGGACCCUUUGACUGUCACAGCCAACAGAUCCUCCAAACUUGUUGGAAUUGCUGAGGGAACUUCCAUCACCUCAAGCCUUGAUGGGCUUCGCAGCAUUUCGAUUGCGAAGCUAACUCUGCGCCUGAAAAAUCACAGGGGUUCUGUUUCCAUUGUUGGAGGUACACAUAAUGUUAAGCCUUCAGAUCAUCCAAUAGUGGGAGGUACAGAAGAUUUCUUGUUUGUGCAAGGCUAUGUUACCUCUUCUCCUGUUGAUCUAAAGGGUGUUACCGUUACCUACAAGAUUGAAUUUCAUCUAUACUGGCCUCCUUAUGCAACUCAUGCCUCUUAAUUAGGAACUUGAUUUGUUCUUAUUUUAGUUGAAGGCUCAUGUUUUACAAAGCUGUAUCAGAGCAGUUUUUGAAAUGAAAAACGUCAUGGUUUAUGUUUGGAAACUUAGUUUUUACAUUUGUAUUUUACAACUACUCCUACACUCAUCCAAUUAUGGUACACUAUAGUGAAUAUUGUAAUAAAUAUAAAG